GAUGAACGCUAGCGGCAGGCCUAAUACAUGCAAGUCGGACGGGAUUCAGGAGCUUGCUUCUGAUGAGAGUGGCGCACGGGUGCGUAACACGUAUGUAACCUACCUUUAUCAGGGGGAUAGCCUCUCGAAAGAGAGAUUAAGCCCGCAUAAAAUCACAGCACAGCAUUGUGUAAUGAUCAAAUAUUUAUAGGAUAAAGAUGGGCAUGCGGAACAUUAGCUAGAUGGCGGGGUAACGGCACACCAUGGCGACGAUGUUUAGGGGAUCUGAGAGGAUGGCCCCCCACACUGGUACUGAGACACGGACCCGACUCCUACGGGAGGCAGCAGUAAGGCAUAUUGGUCAAUGGGCGGAAGCCUGAACCAGCCAUGCCGCGUGCAGGAAGACGGCCGUACGGGUUGUAAACUGCUUUUAGACGGGAAUAACCCCAGAUACGUGUAUCUGGCUGAAUGUACUGUAAGAAUAAGGAUCGGCUAACUCCGUG
rnacentral:rRNA from 1 species